rnacentral:rRNA from 1 species
AUUGAACGCUGGCGGCAGGCCUAACACAUGCAAGUCGAACGAGUGGCGGACGGGUGAGUAAUGUCUGGGAAACUGCCCGAUGGAGGGGGAUAACUACUGGAAACGGUAGCUAAUACCGCAUACAAUCGGUUGUGCCCAGUUGGGAUUAGCUAGUAGGGGGGGUAACGGCUAACCUAGGCGACGAGCCCUAGCUGGUCUGAGAGGAUGACCAGCCACACUGGAACUGAGACACGGUCCAGACUCCUACGGGAGGCAGCAGUGGGGAAUAUUGCACAAUGGGCGCAAGCCUGAUGCAGCCAUGCCGCGUGUAUGAAGAAGGCCUUCGGGUUGUAAAGUACUUUCAGCGAGGAGGCGUUACUCACAGAAUAAGCACCGGCUAACUUCGUGCCAGCAGCCGCGGUAAUAC